rnacentral:rRNA from 1 species
UACAGAGGGUGCGAGCGUUAAUCGGAAUCACUGGGCUUAAAGGGUGCGUAGGCGGAUGCAUAGGCGCUUUGUGAAAUCCCACGGCUCAACCGUGGAAUUGCUUGGCGAACCAUGCGUCUUGAGGUUGGUAGAGGUCACUGGAACGAUAGGUGGAGCGGUGAAAUGCGUAGAUAUCUAUCGGAACGCCAAAGGUGAAGACAGGUGACUGGGCCAAAUCUGACGCUGAGGCACGAAAGCGUGGGGAGCAAACGGG